rnacentral:rRNA from 1 species
AUACGUAGGUGGCAAGCGUUGUCCGGAAUUAUUGGGCGUAAAGCGCACGCAGGUGGUUCCUUAAGUCUGAUGUGAAAGCCCCCGGCUCAACCGGGGAGGGUCAUUGGAAACUGGGGAACUUGAGUGCAGAAGAGGAUAGUGGAAUUCCAAGUGUAGCGGUGAAAUGCGUAGAGAUUUGGAGGAACACCAGUGGCGAAGGCGACUGUCUGGUCUGUAACUGACACUGAGGCGCGAAAGCGUGGGGAGCAAACAGGAUUAGAUACCCUGGUAGUCCACGCCGUAAACGAUGAGUGCUAAGUGUUGGGGGGUUUCCGCCCCUCAGUGCUGCAGCUAACGCAUUAAGCACUCCGCCUGGGGAGUACGGUCGCAAGACUGAAACUCAAAGGAAUUGACGGGG